CAGGACCUCUAAUCUGUGAAGGAGUGUGGAAGAUGCGUUUCCCCAAGCUACGAUACCAUAUUGAAGAUAUGAUUGAAAGAGAGAAAAAUAAACUAAUCGCAUAGCUGAUGGGAGUUCAUGUGUAUUUGCAAGUCAUUUGGCGAGACUGAACUUCCAAAUAACCCGGUAUCGUCAGCGAAGAGUUUGACCAAUAAUCUGGUGGCAUGAGGAAGAUCGUUGACGAAUAAUACGAACAAUAAUGGGCCAAUUAUUGUGCCCUGGGGAAUUCCGCAUUGUACAGUUGCAAGUUCGGAGCAAUUUGAUCCUAUUUUGACAUAUUGUUGACGCGAAUAUAAAUAGCUCUGGAAGAAUUUUGAUGCAUGACCGCGAAUGCCAUAGUGGCUCAGCUUUCUAACUAAUAUGUGAUGGUCGACAGUGUCGAAUGCCUUUUUUAGGUCGUGAAAUAUUGCACUGAGAUAUUCCCUUUUCUCUAAUUUAUCAUAAAAGUAAGUUACCAUAUCUAGUAUUGCAUGAUUAGUAGAGUGCUUCUUUUGGAAACCAAACUGUGACUUAUUAAUAAUGCUAUUUCGAUCUAUAAAUUGUGUUAGUCUGGUAUGCAAAAGUUUUUCGAAUGUUAUGGUCAUAGUCGAAAGAACUGAAAUGGGGCGAUAGUUGGUUGCACAUUCUUUGUCUCCAGCUUUGAACACUGGUGUGACUUUAGCAAUUUUCAAACUUUUGGGAAAAAUACCAUGGUCUAGGGAGGCAUUAAACAACUUACACAGCAUGGGAGACACUAUAUCAGCGGCGUAUUUUAAAAAUUUGGCAGGUAUAUUGUCAUACCCCACUGCUUUGCCAUCAGGAAGACUUGCUAUGGUGGUAAAUACUUCAUUGAUUGUCGUUGGUCUAAGAAACAAGGAAUCUUUCACUGGAUUCUUGAGAUUAUUCAAAAAAGAAUCAUUAGAAUGGGGAAUAUUUUCAGACACUUUUGGGCCUAUGGUGGUGAAAUAAUUGUUAAGGUAAUUGGCAAUACAAAUUGGAUCACAUACUUUAGUUCCAUUGUCAAUUUUUAGCUCUUUGAUUGAACAUUUUUUUUCUUGUCCGAUAUUAGCUAAAUGACCAAUCAAUUUCCAGGUGGAUUUGAUGUCACCACAAAUGUGUUUGAAUUUUCUGAAGUAAUACGAUUUUUUUGCGUUACUUAUUACGAUUUUAAGUAAAUUGUUAUAAACUUUGUAUAAAUUAUGUUGGGUAUUGCUACCAUUUUUAAAGUGCGUUUUAUACAUUUUACGUUUUUUUCUAAUGGAGACAUGAAUACCUUUCGUGAGCCACGGUUUGGCUAGAAGUUUCGAUUCGCGCCGACUUAAUGGUUUCAUGGGUGCGUGUGCAUCAAUAGUUGUUUGAAUUGUUUCUGUGAAUAUUUCAAAUAAAGUGUUUAAGUUAUCA